GCUCUGCCUGUCUUCGUGCGUGGUGGGCCGUUGGAGCCUCUCCGGGGGGAGAAGGGUGUGUGACUGAGGUCAGGGCUCUUAUCAUACUGAGCAUGGCCCUGUUCUGCCAGGUGCUGCAGAGACCCCAGGUGAGAUCAGACCCUGCUGUUGCGCCAGGUAAAACUGAGACCUGCACCAAGAUCACGGCCCCCCCUUGUGCCAGGCAGCGCAUGACUGUGACCCAAACCGCUGCCUCCAUUGUUCUGGGCACUUCAGAGACCUUGACUGAGAUCUGUGUCCCCGUUGGGCCUGGCAUUGCACUGACCCUAA